rnacentral:pre_miRNA from 1 species
AAAAAGACAAACCCUGGUUUCCGUGUCCAACGUUUGACCAUCCGUAUUAUUUGAAAAAAUUAUAAAAAAAUUAAAAAGAUAAGUCAUGCAUAAAGUAUUAACCAUAUUUUAUCAUCUAACAACAAUGAAAAUACUAAUUAUAAAAAAAUUUCAUAUAAGACGGACGGUCAAACGUUGGCACGGAAACCUAGGGUUUAUCUUUUU